AUUGAACGCUGGCGGCAGGCCUAACACAUGCAAGUCGAGCGGAGCGGCGGACGGGCGAGUAAUGCCUAGGAAUCAGACUGGUAGUGGGGGAGAAAGACCGGAAAGGGGCGCUAACACAGCAUACAAUCAGAUGAGUGUAGGUCGGAUUAGCUAGUUGGUGGGGGAAAGGCCUACCAAGGCGACGAUCCGUAACUGGUCUGAGAGGAUGAUCAGUCACACUGGAACUGAGACACGGCCCAGACUCCUACGGGAGGCAGCAGUGGGGAAUAUUGCACAAUGGGCGAAAGCCUGAUCCAGCCAUGCCGCGUGUGUGAAGAAGUUCUUCGGCUUGUAAAGCACUUUAAGUUGCGAGGCGUUACCCACAGAAGAAGCACCGGCUAACUCCGUGCCAGCAGCCGCGGUAAUUA
rnacentral:rRNA from 1 species